AGCACGGAUUAGUUUACUAAUUGGGUGGCGACCGGCGCACGGGUGCGUAACCGUAUGCAACCUACCUUGUACUGGGGUAUAGCCCGGAGAAAUUCGGAUUAAUCCCCCAUAGUAUUAAACAACCGCAUGGUUGAAUAAUUAAAGGUUACGGUACAAGAUGGGCAUGCGUCCUAUUAGCUAGAUGGUGAGGUAACGGCUCACCAUGGCGACGAUAGGUAGGGGGCCUGAGAGGGUGGUCCCCCACACUGGUACUGAGACACGGACCAGACUCCUACGGGAGGCAGCAGUGAGGAAUAUUGGUCAAUGGGCGCAAGCCUGAACCAGCCAUGCCGCGUGCAGGAAGAAUGCCCUAUGGGUUGUAAACUGCUUUUAUUUAGGAAUAAACUCUUGUACGUGUACAAGCCUGAAGGUACUAAAUGAAUAAGCACCGGCUAACUCCGUGCCAGCAGCCGCGGUAAUACGGAGGGUGCAAGCGUUAUCCGGAAUCAUUGGGUUUAAAGGGUCCGC
rnacentral:rRNA from 1 species